rnacentral:rRNA from 1 species
UACGUAGGGUGCGAGCGUUAUUCGGAAUUACUGGGCGUAAAGCGUGCGCAGGCGGUUUUGUAAGCCAGAUGUGAAAGCCCCGGGCUCAACCUGGGAAUGGCAUUUGGGACUGCAAGGCUGGAGUUUGGCAGAGGAGACUGGAAUUCCUGGUGUAGCAGUGAAAUGCGUAGAUAUCAGGAGGAAUACCGAUGGCGAAGGCAGGUCUCUGGGCUAUAACUGACGCUCAUGCACGAAAGCGUGGGGAUCAAACAGG